rnacentral:rRNA from 1 species
AUUGAACGCUGGCGGCAGGCCUAACACAUGCAAGUCGAGCGAGAGGCGGACGGGUGAGUAAUGUCUGGGAAACUGCAUGAUGGAGGGGGAUCACUACUGGAAACGGUAGCUAAUACCGCAUACCAUCAGAUGUGCCCAGAUGGGAUUAGCUAGUAGGUGGGGUAACGGCUCACCUAGGCGACGAUCCCUAGCUGGUCUGAGAGGAUGACCAGCCACACUGGAACUGAGACACGGUCCAGACUCCUACGGGAGGCAGCAGUGGUGGAUAGUGCACAUGGGGCGCAAGCCUGAUGCAGCCAUGCCGCGUGUGUGAAGAAGGCCUUCGGGUUGUAAAGCACUUUCAGCGAGUAGGCGUUACCCGCAGAAGAAGCACCGGCUAACUCCGUGCCAGCAGCCGCGGUAAUUC